ACUGGGCAAUAGUCCGACCAACCAACGGUGCUUUUACGGUCUUCUUGGCUCUUCACACAUGUGAUAUAGUGGACGCGUACGGCUUCAUGACGAGAGACUACGCUAAGUACUCCAACUACUAUUACGAGAAGCAUGACAAGAACCGGGUGAUUUUCUACGCAAAUCACGACUACAUUCUGGAAAUGAAAACCUGGGAGAAGCUGCACAA